rnacentral:rRNA from 1 species
GACGAACGCUGGCGGCGUGCCUAAUACAUGCAAGUCGAGCGAAGGUUUUCUGGUUCUUGCACUAGAAAAACUUAGCGGCGAACGGGUGAGUAAGACGUAAAGAACCUGCCGCAUAGACUGGGACAACUAUUGGAAACGAUAGCUCAUACCGGAUAACAGUAUUUCUCGCAUGAGAGAUAUUUAAAAGUUGGUUAUUCUAACACUAUGAGAUGGCUUUGCGGUUCAUUGGCUAGUUGGUGGGGUAAAGGCCCACCAAGUGGACGAUGCAUAGCCGACCUGAGAGGGUGACCGGCAAACCUGGGACUGAGCCACGGCCCAGACUCCUACGGGAGGCAGCAGUAGGGAAUCUUCCGCAAUGGGCGAAAGCCUGACGGAGCAACGCCGCGUGAGUGAAGAAGGAUUUCGGUUCGUAAAGCUCUGUUGUUAGGGAAGAAUGGAUAUGUAGUAACUAUACAUGUAAGAGACGGUACCUAACAAGAAAGCCACGGCUAACUACGU